AUUGAACGCUGGCGGCAUGCCUUACACAUGCAAGUCGAACGGCAGCACGGGAGCAAUCCUGGUGGCGAGUGGCGAACGGGUGAGUAAUGUAUCGGAACGUACCUUUCAGUGGGGGAUAACGUAGCGAAAGUUACGCUAAUACCGCAUAUUCUGUGAGCAGGAAAGCAGGGGAUCGCAAGACCUUGCGCUGAUUGAGCGGCCGAUAUCAGAUUAGCUAGUUGGUGAGGUAAAGGCUCACCAAGGCGACGAUCUGUAGCGGGUCUGAGAGGAUGAUCCGCCACACUGGAACUGAGACACGGUCCAGACUCCUACGGGAGGCAGCAGUGGGGAAUUUUGGACAAUGGGCGCAAGCCUGAUCCAGCCAUGCCGCGUGAGUGAAGAAGGCCUUCGGGUUGCAAACUGCUUUUGUACGGAACGAAACGGACUCUUUCUAAUAAAGGGAGCUAAUGACGGUACCGUAAGAAUAAGACACCGGCUAACUACGUGCCAG
rnacentral:rRNA from 1 species